rnacentral:rRNA from 1 species
AACGAACGCUGGCGGCAUGCCUAACACAUGCAAGUCGAACGAGAAGCCUCGGGGUCUAGUGGCGCACGGGUGCGUAACGCGGGGGAAUCUGCCCUUAGGUUCGGAAUAACAGUUAGAAAUGACUGCUAAUACCGGAUGAUGACGUUAAGUCCAAAGGUUUAUCGCGCGAGGAUGAGACGGCGUAGGAUUAGCUAGUUGGUGUGGUAAAUGCGCACCAAGGCGACGAUCCUUACCUGGUCUGAGAGGAUGAUCAGCCACACUGGGACUGGGACACGGUCCAGACUCCUACGGGAUGGAGGAGAGGGGAACAUUGGAAAGUGGGGUCAAGGCUGAUCCAGCUAUGACCGGUGAGUGAUGAAAGCCUUAGAGAUGUAAAGCUCUUGUACCCGAGAUGAUAUUGACGGUACCGGGAGAAUAAGCCCCGGCUAACUACGUG